rnacentral:rRNA from 1 species
AUUGAACGCUGGCGGCAUGCCUUACACAUGCAAGUCGAACGGUAACAGGUCUUCGGAUGCUGACGAGUGGCGAACGGGUGAGUAAUACAUCGGAACGUGCCCGAGAGUGGGGGAUAACGAAGCGAAAGCUUUGCUAAUACCGCAUACGAUCUCAGGAUGAAAGCAGGGGACCGCAAGGCCUUGCGCUCACGGAGCGGCCGAUGGCAGAUUAGGUAGUUGGUGGGAUAAAAGCUUACCAAGCCGACGAUCUGUAGCUGGUCUGAGAGGACGACCAGCCACACUGGGACUGAGAAACGGCCCAGACGCCUACGGGAGGCAGCAGUGGGGAAGUUUGGACAAUGGGCGCAAGCCUGAUCCAGCCAUGCCGCGUGCAGGAUGAAGGCCUUCGGGUUGUAAACUGCUUUUGUACGGAACGAAAAGACUCUGGUUAAUACCUGGGGUCCAUGACGGUACCGUAAGAAUAAGCACCGGCUAACUACGUGCCAGCCGCCGCGGUAAGAC